UGACCUCGGAUCAGGUAGGGAUACCCGCUGAACUUAAGCAUAUCAAGCG
rnacentral:rRNA from 1 species